CACGCACCGGUGGGGUCCCUCUGCCUGGACUGCACCCUCUCACAAUCUGGGACCCCUCAGGGGAUGUCAGAGAGCCGGUUUCGGCCCGAUCCCCGCAGGCCAGGCUGAGGGACCCCACCGGUGCAUG
rfam:Myotis lucifugus cont2.27972, whole genome shotgun sequence.